AAUAAAAUAUUUCUGGAACCUUCCAUGCUGACGCUAGUAGGAACGUUCAAGAUACCGCUGGUAUGUGUCCUUGAUCUCUUAGUUUUCUACUGACACUGCGUGAGAAGACGUCACCUGAUUGUGGAAUCGCGGUGCGGCGGUCGCACGUGCAUAGCACGUGCACGCCAGUGGCUAUCUCAUUGCUGCGUUGGCUUUUGAUCGUGUAGCACGUGUUGCUUCGCGCUCCUCAAUAAAGUCUUCCUCCUCUGAGUACUUGUGCGUUCCGGUUUUUUUUUGAAUUAUGAACAUGCAGACGUUUAUGUGUUUGGCAUCUGAUUUAGUUGUAGAACACAAAGACAGGAAGAGGAAGAGAAAGAAGAAAUCUUGGAGAUAUGUAAAUGGUUCGAGACGACGCGGUCGACGUGGGGGUGUGAAGUGUCGUGAACUAGAACGUAGGAAGAUGUUAAAGCAGCAAUUCUCCACCCAAGUUGAUACAGUGUCCCCUUCAUUGCCGUUGUGUCCUGAUGAUUCUUUGUUUUUUGACUUGACACAAUUAAAUUAUAGAUUGAU